ensembl:lncRNA
GUGCAGCCCUAAAAAGCAAAAAAUUAAAAAAAAAAUUUAAAAGAAUGCUUCCGGACUGGUUUUAAUAGAGAUGAAGAACCCAGCCUCACACAAUAUCCAGAAUCAACCUGCAAAUCUAUGAAAUAAAAUGGCUUCCUGAGAUUUACAUCACACAUUUCCUGUAUCUACAGAACCCACAGAUUUCUUCAUCUAUUGUAGGCCCGUGCUUUCAUCCUGAUGUUAACACUAAGGGGGGGAAACAUUUUAGAAAGAGACAUGUGCUGAGUGCAUUUGUUCCUAAGUCAUCUGAAGGUUGAGAAAGUCAGAUAAUAGUUUCAGUUUAAUCAGAACAAGUUUUCUCAUCUCUUCCUCAAAUAAUUUGCUGUACUUGGGUGGUUGCAGGGAUCCCAAGGACUUCAGAGUCUAGCAAAAUCUGAUCAACUCUCCAAAAAGAGUCCUUCAGAACCUCUCAGACUAACUGCAAAUAACUUUCCAUUUAUUCGAACCAGGUGACAAUAUCAAAUCACAUUAUGUUCAUGUAGGAAGUAAUUGAAAGGCAACUCCUUAGUUCUGAAAUCAGAAGUUGGUCAAAAGUCUAAUAUUUUCGAAAGGUGUAUCAUUUUGAGAAAGUGAAGAAAAUUACAUUUUUCUAUCUUUCAAAAAAAUCUAACAGUAUCUUUUUAUUGCAUUUUUAAGGUACCUUGGUUUCUGCUAUGAUAUUGAAGAACAAAUCAAGGACAUAAGGCUGAGAGAUACAAUGUGGCUGAUUUCAAACAGAAACGAUGCUCAGUACUUCAUUACCUGUUUUGUUGUUGUUCAGGUUCAUGGGACCUUUCUCCAUGCAGUGAUCCAGGCUACUCUACUUUUGAUAUUUCCGUCUCAACACAUGGUCUUCAAGGCUGCUACAGUAGAAGAAGAGGAAAUUGAAGGGUUACGUGCUGUCUCUUAAAUGUCUUGGCUCAGAAGUGAUAUAUGUCACUUCUGCUCCUGUUUUAUUGGAAAAAAAAUAGCCAUCUGUCCCUGAUAACUAUAAAGGGGGUUAAGAAUUGUGGAGGAGCUCACUGAAUAUCCGACUUACAUGACUGUCUCUUCCACCUCAUUAUGUUAGGUGGGAACUAAGGCUUCAGGACUAUAGAGAACAUGGAAGAACAUUUACACAUGCCUUCCACUAAUCAUCCACUUUCUUCUCAGCACUAUGUGACUGACUCUGUAUUAGGGGCUAAAAAAUAAAAUAAAUAAAAUAAAACAUUUAAAAGGAGGAGGUUUAUCUUUUAAGUUGUUUAAUACCUAAGAUGAGAUUGAAAUUAUUGAG